GCGCAGGGAGCCAUCCACUAUUCACCCCUUUUCUCGAAAAGCAUUCAUCAUUCUCUUCCUCCUUCUCUCGAUCUCUCAUUCUCCAACCUCCAUUUCGGCAUCUCACCCACUACCUUCACCCAAGCUCUCUGAUUCUCGCACUUGCACACAGAGCACGAACCUCGCCGCCCUCGUCUCUCCCUGCUCUACCAUCGUCAUAACCACACAGUUCCAUCUCCAAUCUUCCCCACAGCUCCGACCGCCAUUUUCUCCCUGCUCCACAAUCACCUCCGUGCACCCGAGCAAGCCUCCCUUCAACUCAUGGUAAUCUCAGUGCCAGAGUUCUGUUGCCGAAGUUAUCCGUCACCUCCAACAGAGUGCUAGACUGAAAACUCCGUCACCGGUCACAAUCUUCAGUUACACAGAAGAAGGGCAUAAGCAGAACCAGAAGUAGGACGAGCCAUGAAGUAGAGCAGCACCGACGUCGCCAGUGACAGCAGAAACUCUGCUUGAAGCUUAUCGUCUAAUUAUCAGCGUAAAUUUUCAAAAGUUCAAGAUAUUUAUUUCUUAGUCUGGAGAAAACAAGGGAAGAGUUUACAUUCGCACAACCAAAGGAAGGCGGUUUUAGAUGUCUUGUGUGAGAUGAGGAAGACAACCCACCUCUAUUUGUCUUUCCCAUUCUAUGUUCUUCUUUUUUUCUUUUGGGUUUUGCAUCUUUCGGUUGUUAUGGGCAGAUCUUCAUAGGUUCUAGCCAUGGUCGUCGAUCAGAUGCCGAAAACCGCAAUUCGAACCAGAGGUGAUCACGCGGAGUGAUCGGCUGAGCAAGAGGGGCAGCUGGUCAUUGAAGUUGGUGAUCCCCGAUUGCCGGAACAGAGACCCAUUCGACAGAGUUUGGCUCAGUCAACAUUCCUUCCUCACCGUUCCCCAGAAAGCAAAAAGGAAGGAGGAGGAGAUGGUGAAGAAACUGAGAGUGCAGAAGAGGAGCACUAUCUGAGUCGAGGCAAGAAGAAGGAGAAGUAGUGAGCGUGCUUGAAAUCCAAGGUGUAGUACUGUUGAAUUGAGUUAUUAAAAUUUUUGUUAAUCAAUUCUUAACUAUUUUUAAUUCUUUUAAUAAAUUCUUAACUUCUUGUUGAUUUAACAAUCACACAAAAA